rnacentral:rRNA from 1 species
GGGAUUGCCUCAGUAACGGCGAGUGAAGCGGCAACAGCUCAAAUUUGAAAUCUGGCCCCCCCGGGGCCCGAGUUGUAAUUUGGAGAGGAUGCUUUUGGGUCUCCGCCGGCCUAAGUUCCUUGGAACAGGACGUCACAGAGGGUGAGAAUCCCGUACGUGGCCGGAAAGGUGCCCUCCGUAAAGCUCCUUCGACGAGUCGGGUUGUUUGGGAAUGCAGCCCUAAAUGGGAGGUAAAUUUCUUCUAAAGCUAAAUACCGGCCAGAGACCGAUAGCGCACAAGUAGAGUGAUCGAAAGAUGAAAAGCACUUUGGAAAGAGAGUUAAACAGCACGUGAAAUUGUUGAAAGGGAAGCGCUUGCGAUCAGUCUCGACGGCGGCCGUUCGGCCUCUCUUCUGAGUGGUUUACUCGGUCGCCGCCGGGCCAGCAUCAGUUCUGGCGGUCGGACAAAGGCGGCGGGAAUGUGGCCCCUCGGGGUGUUAUAGCCCGCCGCGCAAUGCGGCCAGCCGGGACUGAGGUCCGCGAUUCGUCUAGGAUGCUGGCAAAAUGGUCGU